GGGGAAUAUUGGUCAAUGGGCGUAAGCCUGAACCAGCCAAGUAGCGUGAGGGAAGACUGCCCUAUGGGUUGUAAACCUCUUUUGUGCGGGGAUAAAGUGAGGGACGUGUCCCUUAUUGCAGGUACCGCACGAAUAAGGACCGGCUAAUUCCGUGCCAGCAGCCGCGGUAAUACGGAAGGUCCGGGCGUUAUCCGGAUUUAUUGGGUUUAAAGGGAGCGCAGGCCGUCCUUUAAGCGUGCUGUGAAAUGCCGCGGCUCAACCGUGGCACUGCAGCGCGAACUGGAGGACUUGAGUACGCACGAGGUAGGCGGAAUUCGUGGUGUAGCGGUGAAAUGCUUAGAUAUCACGAAGAACUCCGAUUGCGAAGGCAGCUUACCGGAGCGCAACUGACGCUGAGGCUCGAAAGCGCGGGUAUCGAACAGGAUUAGAUACCCUGGUAGUCCGCGCGGUAAACGAUGGAUGCCCGCCGUUGGGAUUUUGAUUUCAGCGGCCAAGCGAAAGCGUUAAGCAUCCCACCUGGGGAGUACGCCGGCAACGGUGAAACUCAAAGGAAUUGACGGGGGCCCGCACAAGCGGAGGAACAUGUGGUUUAAUUCGAUGAUACGCGAGGAACCUUACCCGGGCUUGAAUUGCAGGAGAACGAUCCAGAGAUGGUGAGGCCCUUCGGGGCUCCUGUGAAGGUGCUGCAUGGUUGUCGUCAGCUCGUGCCGUGAGGUGUCGGCUCAAGUGCCAUAACGAGCGCAACCCCUGUCCAUAGUUGCCAUCAGGUCGUGCUGGGCACUCUGUGGAGACUGCCGCCGUAAGGUGUGAGGAAGGUGGGGAUGACGUCAAAUCAGCACGGCCCUUACGUCCGGGGCUACACACGUGUUACAAUGGGGCAUACAGCGAGUUGGAUGUGCGCAAGUACGUCCGGAUCAAUAAAGUGCCUCUCAGUUCGGACUGGGGUCUGCAACCCGACCCCACGAAGCUGGAUUCGCUAGUAAUCGCGCAUCAGCCAUGGCGCGGUGAAUACGUUCCCG
rnacentral:rRNA from 1 species